rnacentral:rRNA from 1 species
CCAGACUCCUACGGGAGGCAGCAGUUAGGAAUAUUCGUCAAUGGGGGAAACCCUGAACGAGCAAUGCCGCGUGAACGAUGACGGUCCUCUGGAUUGUAAAGUUCUGUUGUUUGGGAAGAACGGCUCUAAUAGGAAAUGAUUAGAGAUUGACUGUACCAUUCAAGAAAGCCACGGCUAACUACGUGCCAGCAGCCGCGGUAAUACGUAGGUGGCGAGCGUUAUCCGGAUUUACUGGGUGUAAAGGGGGCGCAGACGGCAGCGCAAGCCAGGAGUGAAAGCCCGGGGCCCAACCCCGGGACUGCUCUUGGAACUGCGCGGCUGGAGUGCAGGAGGGGCAGGCGGAAUUCCUGGUGUAGCGGUGAAAUGCGUAGAUAUCAGGAGGAACACCGGUGGCGAAGGCGGCCUGCUGGACUGCGACUGACGUUGAGGCCCGAAAGCGUGGGGAGCAAACAGGAUUAGAUACCCCCGUAUG